rnacentral:snoRNA from 1 species
UUGAUGACUCCAGGACUGGCCGAGAGCGUGAUGAGACUUCUCGCUUCUGA